rnacentral:rRNA from 1 species
AGUGAACGCUGGCGGUAGGCCUAACACAUGCAAGUCGAACGGCAGCACAGUAAGAGCUUGCUCUUACGGGUGGCGAGUGGCGGACGGGUGAGGAAUACAUCGGAAUCUACUUUUUCGUGGGGGAUAACGUAGGGAAACUUACGCUAAUACCGCAUACGACCUACGGGUGAAAGCAGGGGAUCUUCGGACCUUGCGCGAUUGAAUGAGCCGAUGUCGGAUUAGCUAGUUGGCGGGGUAAAGGCCCACCAAGGCGACGAUCCGUAGCUGGUCUGAGAGGAUGAUCAGCCACACUGGAACUGAGACACGGUCCAGACGCCUAAGGGAGGCAGCAGUGGGGAAUAUUGGACAAUGGGCGCAAGCCUGAUCCAGCCAUACCGCGUGGGUGAAGAAGGCCUUCGGGUUGUAAAGCCCUUUUGUUGGGAAAGAAAAGCAGCAGGUUAAUACCCCGCUGUUCUGACGGUACCCAAAGAAUAAGCACCGGCUAACUUCGUG